rnacentral:rRNA from 1 species
AACGAACGCUGGCGGCAUGCCUAACACAUGCAAGUCGAACGAGACCUUCGGGUCUAGUGGCGCACGGGUGCGUAACGCGUGGGAAUCUGCCCUUGGGUUCGGAAUAACUCAGAGAAAUUUGAGCUAAUACCGGAUGAUGACGUAAGUCCAAAGAUUUAUCGCCCAAGGAUGAGCCCGCGUAGGAUUAGCUAGUUGGUGAGGUAAAGGCUCACCAAGGCGACGAUCCUUAGCNGGUCUGAGAGGAUGAUCAGCCACAC